UAUAUGGAAUGCACCUUAAGCAUCCCAUUAUUUUAGUUUUGUUUUAUUUCUCUGAAGAAGCGAAUGUCUGGUUAACCAUUUGAAUUCAACAAAAGGGAGGAAACCUAUAUGUGAAACCAUCAUAAUAUCACCUUUUUACUUCCACCGCGAUGAGCGGCCGCCUCCUCUCUCCGAUAUCGCUGCCUCACAGCUUUUACCACCGCUCCGCUGCCGUCACCAUCUCCGCCUCACCUUCCUUUCAUUGCCAACCCACCAACGCAGUCCAAUAUGUUUGUUUUACGUGAUUAUCUCUCUUUUUUUUUAUAUGAAAAAAUUGAUAACUAUAUCAACUCGAUAAGUAGUUCAUUGUCAUAGAUGAUACCAUUUUUAGCAACUAUUUAUGCUCAUUGUAUAUUUGUAUAUCUUGUGUUUCAAAUUACUUUGGAUAAUAAGCAAAAUUAGGGUGAAUCCUCUAUUCUAAUUAACCUUUUCAUCAUUAUUAGGGUUCUUUAUUUUCAAUUUACUAUUAAUCAAUUUCAUUAGUUUCUAUUUGUCAUGAUUUGUUAGUUGGAGUUUGAGUGUCUUAUAGUUUUAUUAAAAAAACAAAAAUUUACCAAAAGUUAGUUGGUCCAGUGGUGAUUGGCGCUCAACUUGGUAUGGAGGAAUGCUUUUCGAUCCCCCGCAACUGUGAUUGGGAGGAGGCUGAAGUCACUUGAUGACAAAAUUUACCCUGAACCGGAUUAGUCGGUCCAGUGGGCCGGAUACUGGUGGUGAAAAAAAACAAAAAAUUUGGUAUACUCAUCAUGCACAUUCCAAAAAAAAGGUAGCAUGUAGUAUUGUAAGAGAAGUAUACUAGAAUGUCCAAAGAGAUAUAUGGGUUAUAUGGUGUCUCCGUUGUGAUCACAUUCGAAAUGAGAUGACAAUCAUGCAAAAGGGUUGUUGCUGUCUCUCUAGAGUCUUAUUAUUGUCCUGACACUGGGCAGCAUUUCUACACAUAUCCUAAUCUCAUUCGCUAUGUGAAUUAUGCUAAGCGUAAUCAGGUUGGCGUCUACAAACUGUGUGCUAAAUCAAUUAGAAAAAGGGAAGACGAAGCGCUGAAGAAAAGUACUUCUAUUGGUCGUAGGAAGACAUCAGCUGCCCUGUCAAUUCGUGGGAGACCACCACGUCUGUCAAACUCAGAUUCAUUAGCUGCUGCCAAGAAUGAUGGUUCUAAACCAUCCAGCUCAGGUGAAAGUGUUGAUAAGGAGAAAGAUGAGGAUUAUAUACCCGACCGGUGUUUCUACUCACUUCGCAAUUGAUGGAGCGAGUGAAGUCCCAAAAUAAAGAAAAAAGAAAUAGCGACUAAUUAAUCGGCCAUUUGCUGUUAACUGUUCGUCGCUAUUAUUCUGUUUACUUAUGAUAAACCAUCCUUUUGGCAGUAGCUUUAUUUCAUAUACUCUUAUUUCACUGUUUCUGUUUUCGAAUUUGAAUAAGGUCUUGACAGUGUUUAUUUGAUUAUAUCUAUACAUUCAGAAAUUUGUUGAA